GGAAAAGAAGCUUGCUCUUCAUGAAGUUAGCGGCGGACGGGUGAGUAACACGUGGGUAACCUGCCCAUAAGACUGGGAUAACUCCGGGAAACCGGGGCUAAUACCGGAUAACAUUUUGAACUGCAUGGUUCGAAAUUGAAAGGCGGCUUCGGCUGUCACUUAUGGAUGGACCCGCGUCGCAUUAGCUAGUUGGUGAGGUAACGGCUCACCAAGGCAACGAUGCGUAGCCGACCUGAGAGGGUGAUCGGCCACACUGGGACUGAGACACGGCCCAGACUCCUACGGGAGGCAGCAGUAGGGAAUCUUCCGCAAUGGACGAAAGUCUGACGGAGCAACGCCGCGUGAGUGAUGAAGGCUUUCGGGUCGUAAAACUCUGUUGUUAGGGAAGAACAAGUGCUAGUUGAAUAAGCUGGCACCUUGACGGUACCUAACCAGAAAGCCACGGCUAACUACGUGCCAGCAGCCGCGGUAAUACGUAGGUGGCAAGCGUUAUCCGGAAUUAUUGGGCGUAAAGCGCGCGCAGGUGGUUUCUUAAGUCUGAUGUGAAAGCCCACGGCUCAACCGUGGAGGGUCAUUGGAAACUGGGAGACUUGAGUGCAGAAGAGGAAAGUGGAAUUCCAUGUGUAGCGGUGAAAUGCGUAGAGAUAUGGAGGAACACCAGUGGCGAAGGCGACUUUCUGGUCUGUAACUGACACUGAGGCGCGAAAGCGUGGGGAGCAAACAGGAUAAAACC
rnacentral:rRNA from 1 species